rnacentral:rRNA from 1 species
AGGACGAACGCUGGCGGCGUGCUUAACACAUGCAAGUCGAGCGAGGCCCUUCCUUCGGGAAGGUGCCCUAGCGGCGAACGGGUGAGUAACACGUGGGCAACCUGCCCCUAGCACUGGGAUAAGCCCGGGAAACCGGGUCUAAUACCGGAUAUGACCUCCGAGGGCAUCCUUGGUGGUGUAAAGGAUUCUGGCUAGGGAUGGGCCCGCGGCCUAUCAGCUUGUUGGUGGGGUAAUGGCCUACCAAGGCGACGACGGGUA